ACUCCUACGGGAGGCAGCAGUGGGGAAUAUUGGACAAUGGGGGGAACCCUGAUCCAGCAAUGCCGCGUGUGUGAAGAAGGCCUGAGGGUUGUAAAGCACUUUCAGUGGGGAGGAGGAUUAUUAGGUUAAGAGCUAGAUAAUUGGACGUUACCCACAGAAGAAGCACCGGCUAACUCCGUGCCAGCAGCCGCGGUAAUACGAAGGGUGCAAGCGUUACU
rnacentral:rRNA from 1 species